rnacentral:other from 1 species
CAUUGUAAGGACACUAUCAUCAAUAGGAUGUUGAUGACUAAGGAUAGACAAUGGACCCCUCUAGGAUAGAGGUUAUGGACAGCGUCAGGAAGAUGCAAGGGACACCGCUCAAGGAACAAGUGAUGUGUGCUAACGGGGAAUGUUAGCUAUCAGGAUGAUAAGGACACCGCUAGGACGGCGACGUAAGGAAUAAGCUGACGGAAUCAGCCACUAUUAUGGAUGAUGCAUGGAGCACUUUUAGUAGCCGGACUGCUGCGAGUAAGACCAUGACCCCGAUACUUAUGUGUCGGGGUCUUUCUUAUAU